UUUUAAGAUCCUAUGCAUUUCAGUCAUUGACCAUUACACAUCAGUUGAUGCAAAAUCUAUUACCUGUACUUUUAGUGUCAGCCUUAGUUACUUUGAUGUGCUCAUUUUUUACAGGGCUUCACCGAUAUCUUUUCCUAGUUUAUGAACAAAAAGGAAAAGUUGAGUUUAAGAAGCCUCCAUUAACUGACAGGAAUGAUUGGGGCCGAGCAAAUUGGUCGAGCCGAAAAUUUGCGGAAAAAUAUAACCUUGGGGAGCCAUAUGCAGUCAAUUUUUUCUACAGUAAAUAUACGAAUUUAACAUUCCUUCCAACCGCAAAGGCUUACCUGACAUCCGAAGUAUAUCCUGCCGUUUCGACGAUUAGGAAUCAGAUUUAAA